rnacentral:rRNA from 1 species
UACGUAGGGUCCGAGCGUUGUCCGGAAUUACUGGGCGUAAAGAGCUCGUAGGUGGUUUGUCGCGUUGUUCGUGAAAACUCACAGCUCAACUGUGGGCGUGCGGGCGAUACGGGCAGACUAGAGUACUGCAGGGGAGACUGGAAUUCCUGGUGUAGCGGUGGAAUGCGCAGAUAUCAGGAGGAACACCGGUGGCGAAGGCGGGUCUCUGGGCAGUAACUGACGCUAAGGCGCGAAAGCGUGGGGAGCGAACAGG